rnacentral:rRNA from 1 species
CUCCGGUUGAUCCCGCCGGACCCGACUGCUAUCAGAGUGGGACUAAGCGAUGCGAGUCGACGUAGCAAUGCGUGGCGAACGGCUCAGUAACACGUAGUCAACAUGCCCAGGGGACGUGGAUAACCUCGGGAAACUGAGAAUAAACCACGAUAGGUCACGAUUUCUGGAAUGGAUCAUGGCCUAAAUCUACAUGGCCCCUGGAUUGGACUGCGGCCGAUCAGGCUGUUGGUGAGGUAAUGGCCCACCAAACCUAUAACCGGUACGGGCUCUGAGAGGAGAAGCCCGGAGAUGGGCACUGAGACAAGGGCCCAGGCCCUAUGGGGCGCAGCAGGCGCGAAACCUCUGCAAUAGGCGAAAGCCUGACAGGGUUACUCUGAGUGAUUUCCGCUAAGGGGAUCUUUUGGCACCUCUAAAAAUGGUGCAGAAUAAGGGGUGGGCAAGUCUGGUGUCAGCCGCCGCGGUAAUACCAGCACCCCGAGUGGUCGGGACGAUUAUUGGGCCUAAAGCAUCCGUAGCCGGUUCUGCAAGUCUUCCGUUAAAUCCAGCCGCUCAACGGAUGGGCCGCGGAGGAUACUACAGGACUAGGAGGCGGGAGAGGCAAGCGGUACUCAGUGGGUAGGGGUAAAAUCCUUUGAUCCAUUGAAGACCACCAGUGGCGAAGGCGGUCCGCCAGAACGCGCUCGACGGUGAGGGAUGAAAGCUGGGGGAGCGAACCGGAUUAGAUACCCGGGUAGUCCCAGCCGUAAACGAUGCUAGCUAGAUGAUUCAUUCGCAAGUCGCGAAUGAAGUGUCGCAGGGAAGCCGUUAAGCUAGCCGACUGGGGACUACGGUCGCAAGACUGAAACUUAAAAGAAUUUGCGGGGAAGCAC